rnacentral:rRNA from 1 species
GAACGAUGAACCGGUUUCGGCCGGGGAUUAGUGGCGAACGGGUGAGUAACACGUGGGCAAUCUGCCCUGCACUCUGGGAUAAGCCCGGGAAACUGGGUCUAAUACCGGAUACGACACUCCGAGGCAUCUUGGAGUGUGGAAAGUUCCGGCGGUGCAGGAUGAGCCCGCGGCCUAUCAGCUUGUUGGUGGGGUAAUGGCCUACCAAGGCGACGACGGGUAGCCGGCCUGAGAGGGUGACCGGCCACACUGGGACUGAGACACGGCCCAGACUCCUACGGGAGGCAGCAGUGGGGAAUAUUGCACAAUGGGCGAAAGCCUGAUGCAGCGACGCCGCGUGAGGGAUGACGGCCUUCGGGUUGUAAACCUCUUUCAGCAGGGAAGAAGCGAAAGUGACGGUACCUGCAGAAGAAGCACCGGCUAACUACGUGCCAGCAGCCGCGGUAAUACGUAGGGUGCGAGCGUUGUCCGGAAUUAUUGGGCGUAAAGAGCUCGUAGGCGGUUUGUCGCGUCGAUUGUGAAAGCCCGGGGCUUAACCCUGGGUCUGCAGUCGAUACGGGCAGGCUAGAGUUCGGCAGGGGAGACUGGAAUUCCUGGUGUAGCGGUGAAAUGCGCAGAUAUCAGGAGGAACACCGGUGGCGAAGGCGGGUCUCUGGGCCGAUACUGACGCUGAGGAGCGAAAGCGUGGGGAGCGAACAGGAUUAGAUACCCUGGUAGUCCACGCCGUAAACGGUGGGCACUAGGUGUGGGCAACAUUCCACGUUGUCCGUGCCGCAGCUAACGCAUUAAGUGCCCCGCCUGGGGAGU